rnacentral:rRNA from 1 species
CCUACGGGCGGCUGCAGUGGGGAAUAUUGGACAAUGGGCGAAAGCCUGAUCCAGCCAUGCCGCGUGUGUGAAGAAGGCAUUCGGGUUGUAAAGCACUUUCAGUGGGGAAGAAAGCCUUGGGGCUAAUACCCUCGAGGAAGGACAUCACCCACAGAAGAAGCACCGGCUAACUCCGUGCCAGCAGCCGCGGUAAUACGGAGGGUGCGAGCGUUAAUCGGAAUUACUGGGCGUAAAGCGCGCGUAGGCGGUCUGAUAAGCCGGUUGUGAAAGCCCCGGGCUCAACCUGGGAACGGCAUCCGGAACUGUCAGGCUAGAGUGCAGGAGAGGAAGGUAGAAUUCCCGGUGUAGCGGUGAAAUGCGUAGAGAUCGGGAGGAAUACCAGUGGCGAAGGCGGCCUUCUGGACUGACACUGACGCUGAGGUGCGAAAGCGUGGGUAGCAAACAGGAUUAGAUACCCCUGUAGUC